rnacentral:rRNA from 1 species
GUACUCGCGAAUGCUCUAGAUUAAAGUUUGAUCAUGGCUCAGAUCUGAACGCUGGCGGCAGGCUUAACACAUGCAAGUCGAGCGGGGAAGGGUAGCUUGCUACCUGACCUAGCGGCGGACGGGUGAGUAAUGCUUAGGAAUCUGCCUAUUAGUGGGGGACAACAUCUCGAAAGGGAUGCUAAUACCGCAUACGUCCUACGGGAGAAAGCAGGGGAUCUUCGGACCUUGCGCUAAUAGAUGAGCCUAAGUCGGAUUAGCUAGUUGGUGGGGUAAAGGCCUACCAAGGCGACGAUCUAGUAGCGGGUACUGAGAGGAUAGAUCCGCCACACUAGGGACUGAGACACGGCCCAGACUACCUACGGGAGACAGCAGUGGGGAAUAUAUGGACAAUAGGGGGGAACCCUAGAUCCAGCCAUGCCGCGUAGUAGUGAAGAAGGCCUUAUGGUUGUAAAAGCACUUUAAGCGAGGAGGAGGCUACUUUUUAAGUACCUAGAGGAUUAGUGCGAACGUUACAUCGACAAGAAUAACGCANCC